rnacentral:rRNA from 1 species
UACAGAGGUGGCAAGCGUUGUUCGGAAUUAUUGGGCCUAAAGCAUCCGUAGCCGGUUCUACAAGUCUUCCGUUAAAUCCACCUGCUUAACAGAUGGGCUGCGGAAGAUACUAUGGAGCUAGGAGGCGGGAGAGGCAAGCGGUACUCGAUGGGUAGGGGUAAAAUCCGUUGAUCCAUUGAAGACCACCAGUGGCGAAGGCGGCUUGCCAGAACGCGCUCGACGGUGAGGGAUGAAAGCUGGGGGAGCAAACCGG